rnacentral:rRNA from 1 species
GACGAACGCUGGCGGCGUGCUUAACACAUGCAAGUCGAACGGAAAGGCCCUGCUUUUGUGGGGUGCUCGAGUGGCGAACGGGUGAGUAACACGUGAGUAACCUGCCCUUGACUUUGGGAUAACUUCAGGAAACUGGGGCUAAUACCGGAUAGGAGCUCCUGCUGCAUGGUGGGGGUUGGAAAGUUUCGGCGGUUGGGGAUGAACUCGCGGCUUAUCAGCUUGUUGGUGGGGUAGUGGCUUACCAAGGCUUUGGCGGGUAGCCGGCCUGAGAGGGUGACCGGCCACAUUGGGACUGAGAUACGGCCCAGACUCCUACGGGAGGCAGCAGUGGGGAAUAUUGCACAAUGGGCGGAAGCCUGAUGAAGCAACGCCGCGUGCGGGAUGACGGCCUUCGGGUUGUAAACCGCUUUCGCCUGUGACGAAGCGUGAGUGACGGUAAUGGGUAAAGAAGCACCGGCUAACUACGUG